rnacentral:rRNA from 1 species
UGCGUAGGCGGAACUCUAAGUCAGUGGUGAAAUCCUGCGGCUCAACCGUAGAACUGCCAUUGAUACUGAAGUUCUUGAAUGCAGUUGAGGUAGGCGGAAUGUGUAAUGUAGCGGUGAAAUGCUUAGAUAUUACACAGAACACCGAUUGCGAAGGCAGCUUGCUAAACUGUGAUUGACGCUGAUGCACGAAAGCGUGGGGAGCGAACAGGAUUAGAUACCCUGGUAGUCC